UACGGAGGGGGCUAGCGUUGUUCGGAUUUACUGGGCGUAAAGGGCGCGUAGGCGGCGCGACAAGUCACUUGUGAAAUCUCUGAGCUUAACUCAGAACGGCCAAGUGAAACUGUUGUGCUAGAGUGCAGAAGGGGCAAUCGGAAUUCUUGGUGUAGCGGUGAAAUGCGUAGAUAUCAAGAGGAACACCUGAGGUGAAGACGGGUUGCUGGGCUGACACUGACGCUGAAGCGCGAAAGCCAGGGGAGCAAACGGG
rnacentral:rRNA from 1 species